CACCCGCGCCACAAGUGGUAGUCGCGUUUAUUGGGCCUAAAGCGUCCGUAGCUGGCCUGGUAAAUCUUUUGUGAAAUUGUUAGGCUUAACCUAACGACGCGCAGAAGACACUGCUAGGCUUGGAACCGGAGAAGAGUCAGAAGUAUUAUUGGGGUAGCGGUAAAAUGUUAUAAUCCCUUUAAGACUACCGAUGGCGAAAGCAUCUGACUAGAACGGAUUCGACAGUGAGGGACGAAAGCCAGGGGAGCAAACCGGAUUAGAUACCCGAGUAGUCCUGGCUGUAAACUCUGCGAGCUAGGUGUUGCACAUUCUUCGAGAAUGUGCAGUGUCGAAAUGAAGAUGUUAAGCUCGCCGCCUGGGAAGUAUGGUCGCAAGGCUGAAACUUUAAGGAAUUGGCGGGGGAGCACUACAAGGGGUGCGGCGUGCGGUUUAAUCUAACUCAACGCAGAGAAUCUCACCAGGGGCGACGGCAGGAUGAAAGUCAGGUUAAAGACUUUACUUGACGAGCCGAGAGGUAGUGCAUGGCCGCCGUCAGCUCGUGCCGUAAGGUGUCCUGUUAAGUCAGGCAACGAGCGAGACCUGUACCUACAAUUGCUAGCAACUCAAUUUGAGGAUUGAGCACAUUGUGGGAACUGCUCCGGAAACGGAGAGGAAGGUGCAGGCCACGGUAGGUCUGUAUGCUCCGAAUCCUCUGGGCAACACGCGCGCAACAAUGGUAAGGACAGUGGGAUACAACUCCGAAAGGAGAAGUUAAACCUCUAAACCUUAUCCUAGUCCAGAUUGAAGGCUGUAACUCGCCUUCAUGACGUUGGAAUCCCUAGUAAUCGUUCCUCAUCAUAGAACGGUGAAUAUGUCCCUGCUCCU
rnacentral:rRNA from 1 species